rnacentral:rRNA from 1 species
CCUGGUUGAUUCUGCCAGUAGUCAUAUGCUUGUCUCAAAGAUUAAGCCAUGCAUGUCUAAGUAUAAGCAACUAUACUGUGAAACUGCGAAUGGCUCAUUAAAUCAGUUAUCGUUUAUUUGAUAGUACCUUACUACUUGGAUAACCGUGGUAAUUCUAGAGCUAAUACAUGCGAAAAACCCCGACUUCGGAAGGGGUGUAUUUAUUAGAUAAAAAACCAAUGCCCUUCGGGGCUUCCUGGUGAUUCAUAAUAACUUAACGAAUCGCAUGGCCUUGCGCCGGCGAUGGUUCAUUCAAAUUUCUGCCCUAUCAACUUUCGAUUGUAGAGUAGUGGUCUACAAUGGUUUCAACGGGUAACGGGGAAUUAGGGUUCGACUCCGGAGAGGGAGCCUGAGAAACGGCUACCACAUCCAAGGAAGGCAGCAGGCGCGCAAAUUACCCAAUCCCGACACGGGGAGGUAGUGACAAUAAAUACUGAUACAGGGCUCUUUUGGGUCUUGUAAUUGGAAUGAGUACAAUUUAAAUCCCUUAACGAGGAACAACUGGAGGGCAAGUCUGGUGCCAGCAGCCGCGGUAAUUCCAGCUCCAGAAGCGUAUAUUAAAGUUGUUGCAGUUAAAAAGCUCGUAGUUGAAUUUUGGGCCUGGCUGGCCGGUCCGCCUCACCGCGUGCACUGGUCCGGCCGGGCCUUUCCUCCUGGGGAUCCGCAUGCCCUUCACUGGGUGUGUUGGGGAACCAGGACUUUUACUUUGAAAAAAUUAGAGUGUUCAAAGCAGGCCUUUGCUCGAAUACAUUAGCAUGGAAUAAUAGAAUAGGACGGCUUUCCUAUUUUGUUGGUUUCUAGGGAAGCCGUAAUGAUUAAUAGGGAUAGUCGGGGGCAUCAGUAUUCAAUUGUCAGAGGUGAAAUUCUUGGAUUUAUUGAAGACUAACUACUGCGAAAGCAUUUGCCAAGGAUGUUUUCAUUAAUCAGUGAACGAAAGUUAGGGGAUCGAAGACGAUCAGAUACCGUCGUAGUCUUAACCAUAAACUAUGCCGACUAGGGAUCGGGCGAUGUUACUAUCUUGACUCGCUCGGCACCUUACGAGAAAUCAAAGUUUUUGGGUUCUGGGGGGAGUAUGGUCGCAAGGCUGAAACUUAAAGAAAUUGACGGAAGGGCACCACCAGGAGUUAACUUGCUUGCCGCGAGCUCUGCGCCUGAUAGCACGACCCAAUGGGUAGUGGUGUCCCUUGAAACGAUGCUAGUCCCCCUCCUAGGAGGGGGGCAACACGCUUAAACUGCGGGGACCUCCAAGCCUCACCGUCCCAAGCCUACGCCUAACCGUGCGGGUGGCCGAGCCCAACAGCUCGGGUAGGGGAAAAACCGGGAGAGUGGACGAUCCGCAUCCAAGCCCCCAGACACUACUGGGGGAAGGUUCAGAGACUAGACAAGUGUGGGUUGGCGCAGCGCCGAUUUAAGAUAUAGUCCGUGGUUCGGAGGGCAACCUCCGUUCUGAUCCCUAAACAGGAGCCUGCGGCUUAAUUUGACUCAACACGGGGAAACUCACCAGGUCCAGAUACAAGUAGGAUUGACAGAUUGAGAGCUCUUUCUUGAUUUUGUAGUUGGUGGUGCAUGGCCGUUCUUAGUUGGUGGAGUGAUUUGUCUGCUUAAUUGCGAUAACGAACGAGAC